rnacentral:lncRNA from 1 species
UUGGAAGUGGAUUUCCUGCUUUUGAUACAGGCUUUACUCCAUUCGGGUCACUAGGUCAUGGGGGUCUCACUUCAUUUUCUUCAGCGUCAUUUGGCGGCAGUGGAAUGGGCAACUUCAAAUCAAUAUCAACUUCAACUAAAAUAGUUAAUGGCAAAAAAAUCACUACAAAGAGAAUUGUGGAGAACGGUCAGGAAAGAGUAGAAGUUGAAGAAGACGGACAGUUAAAGUCCCUGACGAUAAAUGGUAAGGAGCACCUGCUACGCUUGGAUAACAAGUAAUUCAACGCACGCAUUUAACAGAAAUGCUAAACCAUAACAAGCACCAUUUGAGGAAUAACAGGAACUUUUUUUUUUGAAGAUUUCAAACGAACUCGACUUUCUGUAUAACUGUACCUAAUCUAAAGUAUUUAUAAUACAGCUCAUCGGACCCCCCAUUUGUCAGAUUUUUGAGUUUGUUGUUGGGACCACAAAAUAGGACCUUUCUUUUUCUUUUUUCUUUUUUCUUUUUUUUUUUUUUUUUUUUUUGUCUUUAAAAUUGUUGUAAUCUCUGUAUGCACUUUGCUUUAAACAAAACGUGAUCUGAGGUGAGCUCUGUGACUCCUGAGUAGUGCUAGGACGAGAUUGUCUUUAACACCAGCAUGGAUCUGCUUCCCACUGUGUUGAAUUGUGAGUAGUGUCAGCCUGCUGUGAAGUUACCAUUGCCAGAUGAAUGUCUACAGAAAUAUUUCAACUUUAUUUUCAGUAUUUAGUGAUGUAAGCUAUUACUGCAUCAAUGGUAAUACAUUUCUGGUUUAGUGUAAAUUAAGGAUGUUUUCUAGUUGUGCAUGGAUGCUGGCAACCUCGUCAGUUUGACUAUUGUUUAAAUAUGUAAUGUUAAGCUUAGGUUUAAAAAAAAAAAGCUGGUAAUUUGGGUUUUUGUCAUUUGCUUUAAAAAAAAAAAUAAAUGCGAAUGUGUUUGGUGCAUUCUUUCAUGAGCGGGGUCUGCA